CACGUAGGAGGCGAGCGUUGUCCGGAGUUACUGGGCGUAAAGGGUGCGCAGGCGGCGGUUCGCGUGGCGAGAUGAAAUCUCCUGGCUUACCUGGGAGGAUGGUCGCCAGACGGGAUCGCUUGAGGGUCGGAGAGGGGCGUGGAAUUCCGGGUGGAGCGGUGAAAUGCGCAGAUAUCAGGAGGAACACCAAUUGCGAAGGCAGCUCGCUGGGACGUUACUGACGCUGAGACGCGAAAGCGUGGGGAGCAAACAGG
rnacentral:rRNA from 1 species